UGAGGCGCACAGCGCGGAGGCCUGGGUACUGCGUCCCCGCGCCUGCGCCUAUAGUAUGGCUGGAGGCGUGCGGCGCGCAAGCGGCCCGAAAGUGGGCGGGGCUUAGGGCCGGCGGGCCCAGAAGCGGAUCCUUAUUGAUAGACCCAUCAGAAAAUAGAAGUCACAAAGGAAACCACACCCCAAAAUUUGGAAAAACCGGCAAAUACUGAAAAUCAUGGCAGGAAGCCAGCUGCCAUGUUGUGAGCUGUCCAUGUGGAAAGAAUUGAUGUGUCCAGACAAAAGCCAGCAAGGACCCCAACCCAGCCAACAGUUUAAAUGAGUACGUCUGCAAGAUGAUUAUCCUCCCAUGAAGCCUUCAGGUGAAUGUCGCACUGGCUAACAACCUGCCUGCAGCCUUGUGGGAAUUGAGGCACCCAGCUAAGCCACACCUGGACUCCUUACCCAAAGAGUGAGAUAAUAAACAUGUUUGUUUUAAGCCA